CUUGCAUCAGCUGCUGAGUGAGAAAGAUUUAUUCACUAUUUCUGUGCUGUAGGGAUUCCACUCCAUCUGCAUCUUGAACUCACGGAAUAAUUUAGGUUGAGAGCGAUCCCCAAGAGCCACAUAGUCCAACCUCUGGCUUCAAGGAGAGCCAGCAUCAAAGGGCCAACAUGCAAAAAGGGAUCUCAUUUUUAUGGACAGAAGAGGGAAACAGUUUUUCAAGGCAAAUCUACUAAAAUGAUACUUGUCAUCGAAUGGAAUUUGUUCCAGCCUAGGCUGAGGAGUGGAUGAGCUCAUUCUUCUGAAACACUGCACUUGUUGUCUUGGUGUAUUUAAGGAACAUCCAAAUGCUUCAGUCUAGACCUGGACUUUCAUUGCAGCAGAGCAGAACAGGAGCUAUA
rnacentral:lncRNA from 1 species